rnacentral:rRNA from 1 species
UACAGAGGGUGCGAGCGUUGUUCGGAAUUAUUGGGCGUAAAGGGCGCGUAGGCGGUGCGGUAAGUCACCUGUGAAAUCUCCUGGCUCAACUGGGAGUCUGCAGGCGAAACUGCCGUGCUGGAGUGUGGGAGAGGUGAGUGGAAUUCCCAGUGUAGCGGUGAAAUGCGUAGAUAUUGGGAGGAACACCAGUGGCGAAGGCGGCUCACUGGACCGGAACUGACGCUGAGGCGCGAAAGCGUGGGGAGCAAACGGG